rnacentral:rRNA from 1 species
UACGGGGGGAGCAAGCGUUGUUCGGAUUUACUGGGCGUAAAGGGCGCGUAGGCGGCGCAACAAGUCACUUGUGAAAUCUCCGGGCUUAACCCGGAGCGGCCAAGUGAUACUGUCGUGCUAGAGUGCGGAAGGGGCUACUGGAAUUCUCGGUGUAGCGGUGAAAUGCGUAGAUAUCGGGAGGAACACCAGUGGCGAAGGCGGCGAUCUGGGAAGAUACUGACGCUGAGGUGCGAAAGCGUGGGGAGCAAACAGG